GCGAAUGUGACACAUCAUGUCAUUGUCAUUGAUCAUUGGCGAACUUCACUCUAAACGUUGUCUCUAGCAAUAAAAUUGCUAUUUAUAUUAAUCAGUAUCUAAGUAAUAGAUAUUUAUGUUAUUGGAGCAUUAUUGGGAAAUAGUUGAUCUACGAUAUAUCUCAAGUUAGAGGGUUUGCAACGGUUCAAGAUAUACACAAUGAAGUCGGUACAAGAGUAUAAUGGAAGUGUUCUUGAUGAUGAAUAUACAAUGGUUAAAUAGGUUGAAUACCUUAAAACGUGUUGUGGACAUAAAGGUGAUAAAAUACUAUUUGGGAUGUCAUGCUACGAUUUGUUCUUGUACCGUCAAGUGAUGUCGUUAGUGAUUGCAGUCAUUGUCGAUUGAUAGGUGACAAGCGAUGCAUUAUUGUAGAAGAAAUACAUAAAGGUGAAAGGUACUACUUGAUGGCAGUUACGGAAGCACUGGAAAUAUAAUGAUAAUUUCCACUUCGACAAGUAGAUAAUUGAGAGAAACUUGUAGAAGGUAUAGGAGAUCGGAAUGUGUCAAAAGAUUGGAGGUUAUGUAGUAGAAGGGGAUUACAUGUUUUUUGUUAGUUAUUGAAGAGUGAAUGAUUAUUCUGAAUU